CAGGCUUAACACAUGCAAGUCGAGGGGCAGCAUGGUCUUAGCUUGCUAAGGCUGAUGGCGACCGGCGCACGGGUGAGUAACACGUAUCCAACCUGCCGUCUACUCUUGGCCAGCCUUCUGAAAGGAAGAUUAAUCCAGGAUGGCAUCAUGAGUUCACAUGUCCGCAUGAUUAAAGGUAUUUUCCGGUAGACGAUGGGGAUGCGUUCCAUUAGAUAGUAGGCGGGGUAACGGCCCACCUAGUCAACGAUGGAUAGGGGUUCUGAGAGGAAGGUCCCCCACAUUGGAACUGAGACACGGUCCAAACUCCUACGGGAGGCAGCAGUGAGGAAUAUUGGUCAAUGGGCGAUGGCCUGAACCAGCCAAGUAGCGUGAAGGAUGACUGCCCUAUGGGUUGUAAACUUCUUUUAUAAAGGAAUAAAGUCGGGUAUGCAUACCCGUUUGCAUGUACUUUAUGAAUAAGGAUCGGCUAACUCCGUGCCAGCAGCCGCGGUAAUACGGAGGAUCCGGGCGUUAUCCGGAUUUAUUGGGUUUAAAGGGAGCGUAGAUGGAUGUUUAAGUCAGUUGUGAAAGUUUGCGGCUCAACCGUAAAAUUGCAGUUGAUACUGGAUGUCUUGAGUGCAGUUGAGGCAGGCGGAAUUCGUGGUGUAGCGGUGAAAUGCUUAGAUAUCACGAAGAACUCCGAUUGCGAAGGCAGCCUGCU
rnacentral:rRNA from 1 species